GCACUGUGGCAGCACACAUAGGAAAAGCGCAAUGAUACAGAGAAGACAGCGUGGCCCCUGCACGACGAUGACAGGCCAGUCGUUUAGCUUCCACAUGUUUGG
ensembl:snRNA U6 U6 spliceosomal RNA